AGCGAACGCUGGCGGCAGGCUUAACACAUGCAAGUCGAACGAAGCCUUCGGGCUUAGUGGCGGACGGGUGAGUAACACGUGGGAACGUACCUUUUGGUUCGGAACAACACAGGGAAACUUGUGCUAAUACCGAAUGAGCCCUUAGGGGGAAAGAUUUAUCGCCAUUAGAGCGGCCCGCGUUGGAUUAGCUAGUUGGUGGGGUAAAGGCCCACCAAGGCUACGAUCCAUAGCUGGUCUGAGAGGAUGAUCAGCCACACUGGGACUGAGACACGGCCCAGACUCCUACGGGAGGCAGCAGUGGGGAAUCUUGCGCAAUGGGCGAAAGCCUGACGCAGCCAUGCCGCGUGAAUGAUGAAGGUCUUAGGAUUGUAAAAUUCUUUUACCAGGGACGAUAAUGACGGUACCUGGAGAAAAAGCUCCGGCUAACUUCGUGCCAGCCGCCGCAGUAA
rnacentral:rRNA from 1 species